UACGUAGGGGGCAAGCGUUAUCCGGAUUUACUGGGUGUAAAGGGAGCGUAGACGGCUUUGCAAGCCAGAUGUGAAAGCCCGGGGCUCAACCCCGGGACUGCAUUUGGAACUGUGUGGCUAGAGUGUCGGAGUGGCAGGCGGAAUUCCUAGUGUAGCGGUGAAAUGCGUAGAUAUUAGGAGGAACACCAGUGGCGAAGGCGGCCUGCUGGACGAUGACUGACGUUGAGGCUCGAAAGCGUGGGGAGCAAACAGG
rnacentral:rRNA from 1 species